rnacentral:lncRNA from 1 species
UAUACACAAAGAACUCAGUGAGCAAUACAAUCAUAAAGAUCAAUGCUUAAUUUGUGGCAACCUUUUGCUCUCUUCCUUAUUUGUACUUCCAAGACAUCAGCUUCAAGAUUUUCAAACCGAGAAGAAGAAUUUAAUCUCUAUAUUUUCAAGCUCCGUCGCCAAAUCAAUAACAGAGACUCACUGUCAAUGCAGUUACGAACUCAAGCGGAGGAACAGAGCAAACCUGGGAAUCAAGCAGCAACAUAUCGACUCCCAUGAGUUCGCCACCGCAUCCGAUGUUCCUGGCCUCCCAAUAACAGAGCAACUGCACUUGAACGGUGGAAUAGCAUUAGCCAUACUGAAAAUAAAAUUACUGGUUUCGGAAUACGAAAGGAGGAGAUGAUUCUCAUAGCAUGAAAGCAUACCCUUUUAUAGUCGAAAUUCCACCGCCUUUCAUGAGUUAAGAUCGCAUUCAAGAGAGAUCAUGGGUAUGUAUUUAAGAAAGAGUUGAAGAGGGGUAAUCUGUAACCGGUAUCACUGCAGAUUGAUAAGGAAGAAGAUGAAACGCUCGCUCUUGGAACACAGGUUAAGCCUCGAUCUCCAAUGGCGGAGAAGUAUGCUUCAACCCUAAUUGCAAAAACAGUUAAUACGCGUUUAAACUAAGACAUACUGGAAUCGGGCUGUACCAAUUUUGAGAAUACAGAUAAAGCCCGUAGCAAUGAAGCCCAUAAGCCAAC